rnacentral:rRNA from 1 species
GUAGUUAGCCGGGGCUUCCUCCUUGGCUACCGUCAUUUGUUUCGUCACCAAGGACAGAGGUUUACAACCCGAAAGCCUUCUUCCCUCACGCGGCGUUGCUGGGUCAGGCUUGCGCCCAUUGCCCAAUAUUCCCCACUGCUGCCUCCCGUAGGAGUCUGGACCGUGUCUCAGUUCCAGUGUGGCCGAUCAGCCUCUCAGCUCGGCUACCCAUCGUCGACUUGGUGGGCCGUUACCCCGCCAACUAUCUAAUGGGACGCGAGCCCCUCUCAAAGCGGAUUGCUCCUUUGACCUCUCUGCGAUGUCACAGUGUGGUCUUAUGCGGUAUUAGCAACCGUUUCCGGUUGUUAUCCCCCUCUUUGAGUCAGGUUGCUCACGCGUUACUCACCCGUUCGCCACUAAGCAAAAACCGAAUCUUUGCUCCGUUCGACUUGCAUGUGUUAGGCACGCCGCCAGCGUUCGUCCUGAGCCAGAAUCAAACUCUGA